GCCAGGCACAGUGGUAUGCACUCUGUAGGCUGAGGAGGGAGGAUCACUUGAGCCCGGGAGUUCUGGGCUGUAGUAUUCUAUGCUGAUUAGGUGUCUGCACUAAGUUUGGUGUCAAUAUGGUAACCUCCCGGGAGCUGGGGACCACCAGGUUGCCUAAGGAGGGGUGAACCUGCCCAGGUCGGAAAUGGAGUAAGUCAAAACUGCUGUGCUGAUUAGUAGUGGUAUCAUGGUAUCACAUCUGUGAAUAGCCGCUGUACUCCAUCCAGCCUGGCAACAUAGCGAGACCCCAUCUCA
rnacentral:SRP_RNA from 1 species